AAUGCUAUUUAAAAAAAAAAUACCAUUUUUUUAAAAAACGGGAUGCUGAUGGGAGCAGUGCCCUGCGUUACGUUCUUAGGAAGCACAAAACAAUGCCGCAAGGAAUUUACACGGUAACGGGAGAGGACGGACCACAAAAUAUUUUAAAAAAAAGAGUGUAUGGAACAAAUGAUUGAGGAGCAGCAUGACCAAGUGGGAAGAACCCGGGAUUAAGAGUCAGAAGACCCAGGUCUUAAUCCUGACUCGGCCACUCGCCAGCUGCGUGUGAUUUUGGACCAGUUCCUUAACUUCUCCGUGCCUCGGGUUUCCCGUCCGUACAGUGGGGACGAUAUCUUUCCAUUUAGACCGCCAUGUGGAACGGGAAUUACAACUCACUUGAUUGUACUGUAUUUUUCUCUUGUCCUAUGCCGUUGAGUCAUCUCCGAUCCAUAGCGACGCCACGGACGCAUCUCUCCGAGAACGCCCCACCUCCACCUGCAGUCGUUCCGGUGGCGUAUCCGUAGAAUUUUCUUCUUAAAAAUACGGACGUGGUUUACCGUUGCUUUCUUCCGUGCAGUAAACUUGGGUCUCCAGCCUCGACCCUCCCCUGUGCCCCCGCUGCCCAGCACAGCAAUGAGAAAGGCCCAGGGCAACGGAUUAAUCCAAACGUUGGCAGCGACCAAGAUAAACUGAAGGUUUUUAAGCCCGCAUUGAGAUAAAUUGCGAUCGAAAA